GACAGUUUUCUGCUUUUCACUAAAAAUCCAGGACAUCAAGGCAUGCUACUUUCCACUUAUUUUCUUCUAUUCGCUGUUGUAGGAGUCAGAGUAACUAACCCUUACCGAGUCACAGUCAUGUAGCUCGCUCAUUUCAAAGAUUCCAGAAAGUUAGCGAGUGUUUUUGCUUUAUUGCCAGCUUCCAGUGCAUGGAAUUUUGUGAAUCUGGUCACAAGUGACUACGGGUGGUGUGCAUUGGCAAAAUACCCAUUUUGAAGAACUCAGUUGUGUUUUUGUAGUUACCGGACCACGGCAGUUGGGUCCUCAGUACUAAUAACCAGUGUAGUCUUGCUAAGUGCGGAGCGUUCGAUCAGAGGUACAGUAACGAUCCUAGAUUACCUGUAACCAACCAGAGCAGGUUCCGUGCUCAUGGAUCGUGCCAGGGUUAGGCCGACAGGUGUUGCCUUGUCCCUGGCCUGUGUCCUGCUAUGGCUGUCAACAGUGCAUGCGGACUUCACGCGUGUUGGAAUCGGCGUGUAUGUGCUCAAUGUCGGUGAGGUGGAUAUCGCUGGCGGAUCUUGCUACCUUGAUUAUCUGCUGACCAUACAUCAGCUGAAGACGGUGUUUCCUACGUACGAACAGGCGGUGUCCAAGGGUCUGGCGAAUGUGAAGGACCGCAUCUGUAGCGACACCGACAACGCUGAUUGGAUGGAGUGGAAUGGCACGGCCAAGGACAUUGCCGUUGUCAACUUGAAGCGGACGGGGGAAGUGAGGCCACUGGAGUACAGCGGCCAGUUUCGUGUGCUUGGUGAUCACUACUUUCGCACAAGGCUGGCUGAUUGGCCGUUUGAGACGCAGACGCUGGAGCUCAUCAUUGAGUUCAACGAGCAGCUUCAGUCAGACGGAUUUGAUAUUGUGUUCUGUCACAUCAACCAGUACAGUGGACUGUCGAGCUCCAUUCGUUUCCCUGGCGAGGAGUCCCUGACCCUCACGACCACGCACAGUGUGGUGGAGAGAUGCUGGCCACCGUUCUCAGCGCCGGAUGCCACGUGUCUCGACGCGUCUUCCAUCACACCAGACUGCGAUUGUGCCAAGCCGCCCAAGGUGUACCAUAACAUCACCAGUCACUUUUCUUGCAGGUGCCAGGGAGGAGAGAAGAUAUCGACCCGAUAUUACGGAAUGAUCAACUUUGAUCGUCCCGAGAGGAGUGCAUUCAUCAAGGUCUUCAUGGCACCUAUGUUCAUUCUCCUUGUCAUCAUACUCACAUACUGGCUGCCACCCAAGAAGGACGAAACCAGAUUCUCGAUGUGUGCUGCAACACUUCUCGCCGGCAUCUUCUUCCACGUCAACCUGCACAACCAGCUGCCUCCGACGUCCACGCUGACAGAUGCAGACACGCUCAUGAUCAACCUGUACAUUGUGAAUCUGUUUGCGUGGGUCGUCACCCUUAUCAUCAUGCUCUGUCAGAACGCCGACGAGAUCAGUGACAAGUUCACCAACCGAGUCUACCUGUUCACGCGCAUCCUCGGGCCUAUCCUCAGCAUCCCGUCCUUCAUCAUCACUUUCUUUUCCGACACACAAGACUGGUGGCUGUGGGUUCUGGUAGUGGUGCUAGGGGUUUUUCUCUCACUACUGUUGUUGCUCAUUCAGGAGUACACGCAGAAGAGACUUCAGUCCUGGCUUCACAGAUCUCACCGUAAUGGUGCUAAUGGGAAUGCUGGCAGUAGUUGCACUGGAUCUAACGAUUCGGAAACACAGACGCGUCCUGGAGUCACUCGCCGUCGAAGUAUGAAGAAACCACUCCUGAAAGCUAUGGAGAGUAAUUCGGAUGUCACUGAGACGGACGCGCUGUAACUCGCAUCCUUUAGGCGUUCGUCGACAGUUACCUGAAUGGCCGUCCAGAGCGUUCUUGCUGCUCGAACGGCACAAUCUCUCACUCUCUCGUCAUCAUCAUCACAUCUGGCCUCGCAGUGGUGUUGCUGCGCUUGAUUGCAAGGAUCUUGUUCGCUAUCGUUGAGAAAAUGUGUCGGGGGCACAUCGAGUGGAUUUGCAGAUUUGCGUACCUCUCUUGCGACAGGUGUAUUCAGGAUACAUGGUAUUUUUGGGCAUGUGUGUGUGUGUGUGUGUGUGUGUGUGUGUAUGUGUGUUUCCUUCUGUGAUGAUAUUUGUGUCUCUGGACGUUCCCAUAGCAACUUCUUCAACCAAAUGCAUACAGCAGAAUACGAAUACUUUAAUGUUUCGAUUUCAGGAUAGUCAUCGUAAGAGAUAAAGGCAAUGCGCAAGAGUGAAUUUUACUUUGUGUCGCUCACACAUAGCUGCUGUCACGCAAGACAAUCAAAAUGAUAGUGUGCAACAUUAAUUUUUGGUCAUAGAUUGCAUGCAAGAUCACUAACAGUUACUAUUCAUGCACAAAGCGGCUGGUGGACAUCACCAUGCUCAAAUCAAACAUCAGAAGCGUGCGUCUCACUCUCACAAUCGCAAUGGAGCAAAACCAACGAAAAAUAGGAGCCUGUGCACGGCAAACAGCUUUGCUAAGCGAAUGAACUGCGCCAGUGGCCAAUACACAUGCUUGCUUUGUACAGCGUGUUGUCACUUUGUAACGUUACAUGGCGUGCAGCAGCUGAAUGUCUACUAGAACGUAUCUCUAUUCACUGGGCUAGCUUGCAACGGUGUGCUUCCCUUGCAUGUUAAUCUGCACAGCUUGCUUUGAAACGUCCGCAGC